GAUCCUGGCUCCGGAUGAACGCUAGCUACAGGCUUAACACAUGCAAGUCGAGGGGCAGCAUGUUGGUUGCUUGCAACCAAUGAUGGCGACCGGCGCACGGGUGAGUAACGCGUAUCCAACCUACCCUUGUCCAUCGGAUAACCCGUCGAAAGGCGGCCUAACACGAUAUGCGGUUCACAGCAGGCAUCUAACGUGAACGAAAUGUGAAGGAGAAGGAUGGGGAUGCGUCUGAUUAG
rnacentral:rRNA from 1 species